ACGGAAGUCUGAUGCAGCGACGCCGCGUGGGGGAUGAAGGCUUUCGGGUUGUAAACCUCUUUUAUUCCUGAACAAGGCUUGGAUUGUUGUCUGGGUUGAGGGUAGGGGGUGAAUAAGCACCGGCUAACUCCGUGCCAGCAGCCGCGGUAAUACGGAGGGUGCAAGCGUUACUCGGAAUCACUGGGCGUAAAGAGCACGUAGGCGGCCUUGCAAGUCAGAUGUGAAAUCCAACGGCUUAACCGUUGAACUGCAUUUGAAACUGCAAGGCUAGAGUAUGGGAGAGGUAGGUGGAAUUCUCGGUGUAGGGGUAAAAUCCGUAGAGAUCGAGAGGAAUACUCAUUGCGAAGGCGACCUGCUGGAACAUUACUGACGCUGAGGUGCGAAAGCGUGGGGAGCAAACA
rnacentral:rRNA from 1 species